CUGUGCCUACGGGGGGCAGCAGUAGGGAAUCUUCCACAAUGGGCGCAAGCCUGAUGGAGCAACGCCGCGUGGGUGAAGAAGGUCUUCGGAUCGUAAAACCCUGUUGUUAGAGAAGAAAGUGCGUGAGAGUAACUGUUCACGUUUCGACGGUAUCUAACCAGAAAGCCACGGCUAACUACGUGCCAGCAGCCGCGGUAAUACGUAGGGAGCGAGCGUUAUCCGGAAUUAUUGGGUGUAAAGGGUGCGUAGACGGGAAAACAAGUUAGUUGUGAAAUCCCUCGGCUUAACUGAGGAACUGCAACUAA
rnacentral:rRNA from 1 species